GAUGAACGCUGGCGGCGUGCCUAAUACAUGCAAGUCGAGCGAACCUUCGAUCAGCUUUCUUUUCUGACGUUAGCGGCGGACGGGUGAGUAACACGUGGAUAACCUACCUUUACGUCUCGGAUAACUGCGGGUAACCGUAGCUAAUACCUGCUAAUAUUUUGUACCACAUUGUGCCACAUGGCAUGACGGUCAUGCUGUCUCUUAUAGAUGGAUCCGCGCUGCAUUAGCUAGUUGGUAAGGUAACGGCUUACCAAGGCAACGAUGCAUAGCCGACCUGAGAGGGUGAUCGGCCACACUGGGACUGAGACACGGUCCAGACUCCUACGGGAGGCAGCAGUAGGGAAUCUUCGGCAAUGGGCGAAAGCCUGACGGAGCAACGCCGCGUGAGUGAUGAAGGUCUUCGGAUCGUAAAACUCUGUUGUUAGGGAAGAACAAGUGUGUAAGUAACUGUGCGCCUCUUGACGGUACCUAAUCAGAAAGCCACGGCUAACUACGUG
rnacentral:rRNA from 1 species